rnacentral:tRNA from 1 species
ACACUUUUAGUAAAAUGUUAUUACGUUAUCUUGAUAAGGUAGAGUUUAAAGGUGGA